GAUGAACGCUGGCGGCGUGCCUAAUACAUGCAAGUCGAGCGAACAGACGAGGAGCUUGCUCCUCUGACGUUAGCGGCGGACGGGUGAGUAACACGUGGAUAACCUACCUAUAAGACUGGGAUAACUUCGGGAAACCGGAGCUAAUACCGGAUAAUAUAUUGAACCGCAUGGUUCAAUAGUGAAAGACGGUUUUGCUGUCACUUAUAGAUGGAUCCGCGCCGCAUUAGCUAGUUGGUAAGGUAACGGCUUACCAAGGCAACGAUGCGUAGCCGACCUGAGAGGGUGAACGGCCACACGGGAAGGGGAACACGGUCCAGACUCCUACGGGAGGCAGCAGUAGGGAAUCUUCCGCAGUGGGCGAAAGCUUGACGGAGCAACGCCGCGUGAGUGAUGAAGGUCUUCGGAUCGUAAAACUCUGUUAUUAGGGAAGAACAAAUGUGUAAGUAACUAAGCACGUCUUGACGGUACCUAAUCAAAAAGCCACGGCUAACUACGUG
rnacentral:rRNA from 1 species